rnacentral:rRNA from 1 species
GGGGAAUAUUGGACAAUGGGCGCAAGCCUGAUCCAGCCAUGCCGCGUGAGUGAUGAAGGCCUUAGGGUUGUAAAGCUCUUUUAGCAGGGACGAUAAUGACGGUACCUGCAGAAAAGCCCGGCCAACUUCGUGCCAGCAGCCGCGGUAAUACGAAGGGGGCUAGCGUUGCUCGGAAUCACUGGGCGUAAAGCGCACGUAGGUGGGUCGUUAAGUCGGGGGUGAAAUCCCAGAGCUCAACUCUGGAACUGCCUUCGAUACUGGCGACCUUCGAGUUCGGGAGAGGUGAGUGGAACUGCGAGUGUAGAGGUGAAAUUCGUAGAUAUUCGCAAGAACACCAGUGGCGAAGGCGGCUCACUGGCCCGAUACUGACACUGAGGUGCGAAAGCGUGGGGAGCAAACAG